AUUGAACGCUGGCGGCAUGCUUUACACAUGCCAGUCGAACGGUAACAGGCCUUCGGGUGCUGACGAGUGGCGAACGGGUGAGUAAUGCAUCGGAACGUACCCAGAGGUGGGGGAUAACGCAGCGAAAGCUGAGCUAAUACCGCAUGUGAUCUGAGGAUGAAAGCGGGGGACCGAGCAGCAAUGUUUGGCCUCGCGCCUUUGGAGCGGCCGAUGUCGGAUUAGCUAGUUGGUGGGGUAAAGGCCUACCAAGGCGACGAUCCGUAGCUGGUCUGAGAGGACGACCAGCCACACUGGGACUGAGACACGGCCCAGACUCCUACGGGAGGCAGCAGUGGGGAAUUUUGGACAAUGGGCGCAAGCCUGAUCCAGCAAUGCCGCGUGCGGGAAGAAGGCCUUCGGGUUGUAAACCGCUUUUGGCAGGAACGAAACGGUGUCCGCUAAUACCGGGCGCUAAUGACGGUACCUGCAGAAUAAGCACCGGCUAACUACGUG
rnacentral:rRNA from 1 species